rnacentral:tRNA from 1 species
GCCUUUAUAGCUCAGUGGUAGAGCGUUGCACUUGUAGCCUGUGACAGGGUUGUGAUGCAAAGGUCCAUUGUUCAAUCCAGUGUGGAGGCA